GACUUUGCCCCCCCCCACCCCCCAACCCUAUCCCUGGCCGGGGACAAUGCCUGGAAACAUACUAAUGUCUCUAGGACAGAGAGCAGCAAUGCUGCGGAGUGUCUCCACUGCACAGGCUUCACAUUCACCCACAACAAAGAGCUCUUCCGACCAGAGUGUCAGCAGUGCCAGGGUUGAGAAUCCUGCAUCAGGACAAAGGAAAUGAGUGAACAUUUCUCACAUCCCUUGAAAAGAAGAGCAAAGAAGGAGCAGCUGGUGGGCAUGCAGAGGGGAAGCUGGGGAUUUGCUCUUCGUGUCCCAGGUAGACUCACAACAGUGUCAUUAUUCCAAAUGCUAUUCACUAGUCAGGAAACAAGCAGCUCCCCAAGUUCUUACAGCUGUACUUCCAUCAGAUCUGAACAAUGAAACAUCGCAUCCACGAAAGCCAUUUUAGUCUAAUUCAUGUUUAUUAAAUGAGAAUACCCACCUGGCGCCAAACUGGGACUGCAGAGGCUUCAGUGGAAGAGUGUUUUAAAACUGGUGCCUGGGUAUUGUGGCUCAUGCCUGUAAUCCCGGCACUCAGAAGGCUAAGGCAAGAGAAGUGCCAUGAGUUCCAGGUCAGUCUGGAGUACAGAAUGAUACUCUCUCACACAAGAAACACACACACACAGACAUGCACACACACACUUAUGCACAGGUACAUGUUCACAUAUGCACAGGCACACAUGCACGUGCACACACACAUGUGAAUGAAAUCAAAAGAUUAAAUAAACCUAGCAAUUAAAGUCUGGGACAGAAAUCAGACUGGAGGGGUUGAGGGGGAAUUAAGCUGAGCACAGAAUAUAUGAGGGUAGGGGCUUAGGAUUUAACAGAUAUGAUCACAUUUUCAUUUGUCGUCUGUGGUUUGAGCAGCUUUGCAUGUAACCACUAGUCUUAAAGGUAUAGCACUCCUUUAAAGAUAUCGGUGAAGCUAAACACUGGCCUCUUUCUUGUUAGUUUUGUAGAACUGUGUAUCCCUGCCCCCUGCCCCAAGAAAUCAUAUGUUAAAGUGUAAGGCUGAAUGCUGCCAUCAGGAUCAAUGAGAUAUCCCAGUUUACACCUAAUCAUACUGAGUAGGUUGAGCCUCCAACCCCAUGAGGCUGCUGUUUUUAUCUAGAGAAGAAACUUAAACCCAGAUUUCCACCCAAACAGAUGUCAAGGCAAAGGUCAGAGUUUUGCCAACAAGGUCUUUGAAUCCAGGAGACAUGCACAAAGCAGAUUACUUCUUGCACCCCUCUGAAGGCAUCUACUUCCAGAACCGAGAGCCUAAAUUCUGUCGAGGAAGUCAUCUGGGAUUUGUUUUGGGCUGUGAUGACAGAGUUCUAGUUAACCAGUAAAGAUGAGGUGAACACUAGAACAAGGCAGGGGCAGACAAAUGAUCCUUACUAGAGUUUUCUUUCCCAACUGAUGCCUGCAAACUACUACUUCUUCAGAGCAGGCAACUCAGAGGAUCCACCUUGGGCUCAAAGGCCGGCAUCCCUCCAUCUAACAGGAAGCAGGAGCGAGGUAAGUGAUUAAUUAAUUAAGAACAUACAUUUCAUUAUGCCCCUGAGCCCACCUUUCAGGAAUUCCUGAUGUAUAGCUGGGAGACACUCUCCUUUCUAAACCAGCAUGAGAGGUGGGUAAUGAGGGUGAUACUUCUACUAUUUUGGGGAAACCUGGUAUUUCCAAGACUAUCGCACAAAUAGGGGGAUCUACAGCCAUAGUCACACAUCUAUGCAUACUAGCAGUAUCCUGGACUUUUAAAACAAGUCAACUAAAUAAUAUAUAGGGACCCAUUCCAGGACAAAAUCUGGGAGGGGUCUCAGGCUGAGACACAUACAGGAGUGAGACCCAAGGCCAGAAGGAACAUCUUACUGCAGGGACAAAUCUACCUGAGAUGGGAGACCAAGUUUUGGGAUCCCUGUGAGAAACCAUAGUUAUGCUAUGCAGACCUUAAACCUAGCAUGCAAGGCAGUCAGAUUUCCAUUGCAGGAAACAAUUACACUAACAGAUAAUCCUCUCCCGCUAAGCAGUGAGUGUUAUUAUUAUAAUGCAUGUUUUACAAUGCAAGAAAAAUCAGCCUUACAUUAGAUUUACUGGAUAUUAGGAGUCAGCCAAGAAGUGGUAGGUUUUAGGGCAUUCAAUACUUUUCUGUUUGCUGUGACUAAAUAUGUAGCCGGAAGCAACAUUAGGGAAAAGAGGCUUGUUUUAUCUCAUCGCUUGUGAGUAUAGUUCACAGGGUAGGAAGUGCUGGCUACAGGAACGUGAGGAGACUGGCCAUGUUUUUUUUUUCUGCAACCAGGAAGCACAGAAUAGACGGAAAAUAGGAUGGGGCUAUAAAACCAAAAGACCCACCCUGACAGUGACAUGUACCCUCCAGCAGGAUUGCACCUCCUAAAGGUUCCAUAGAUUUCCAAAAUGGUGUCACCAACUAGGGACCAAGUAUUCAAACACAUGAGCCUGUGUGAGACAUUUCACUUUUAAACUACAGCACCUGUGUUUAAAAUCUUUAAUUAGCUCAUUGUACAAGUGUUUAAAAUUUCCUAGGGAAAGUUAUACAAGAUGCACAAUAAAAUGUACCAUGCUGUAGGUUUGCUCUUGACUUGGUUGCGAAGUUGUGGCUGGUUUGGGGCUUUGGAGUUUUUUGGUUUUUUUAUUAUUCUUUGCUUUGAUCUUUUCUUUUUUUCCUGUCGUUUCUUUUUGUUGUUAUUUUGUUUUGUUUGGAAUCUUUAAUGUGCCUGAUUCAGAGAGCCAGAAAUCUGAGAAGAUGGCAGACUGGCACCCUCAAAGCUGCCUUACACCUCAUCUCCAGCUAUCAGGUUAACUAUGGCAGAGAUGCUGGUGAUACGCCAAAGGCAAGAUCAUCCUGGAACCCAGUCUUGGCCCUCUGGCUGGGUGAUGAGCCUUACACUGAGACUUGGGGUGUUUGUGGCUCUCAUGUUAUCACCCCGCCACUUUUUAUGGUUGUUUGGGAAGAGUGUCACUCUGUGGUCCAGGACGCCCUGGAAUUCACUAUGUGCUCCAGUAUACCCUUGAAUUCAUGAGUACUCCUCCUGCCUCAGUCUUCCUAGUGCUGGCAUUACAAGCAGGAGCCACCAUGCAGGCUCUAGUAUUUUGUUAUUAACUCAUUAAAAAAAGACAUUAUAAUUAGUAUCUCUGGUCAACUUGACACACCUGGUAAGAGAGACCCUCAACUGAAGCACUGACUCCAUCAGAUUGGCUCCUGGACCUGUCUGUGGGGCACUUUUUACAUUGCUAAUUGCUGUAGGAGAGCUCAGCUCACUGUGGAUGAAGCUCCUGAACUGGUGGUCCUUCCUUGUAUACGAAAAAUAGCUGAGCAUUCCAGAGGAAGCAAGAUCCUAAGCAUUCUGCCUCUUAGUCUGUUUGAGUUCCAGCACUGACUUCCCUCUGUGAUGGUUGUAAUCAGGAAGUAUAAAACAAAAUAAGUGCUUGCUCCCUCCACCCUCCAAAAAAAGGGUUUAAUUAUGUCUAAGAGAAUUUCAUGCAAUGUGCUGUGGUCAUAUUUGCUCCUCACUCAUCCCCCUAACUCCUCCUAGGUCCACCCCUAUCUCUGCACCCUACCUCCCAAUUUUCUGUCCUCUUUUUUAUUAUUUAUUUAAAUAACUCCUUGACUCCUAUUUAUGCUGCCCUUGUACUCCUGGGAAAGGGUCAUCCACUGAAGUGCAGUCAACCUACUAGGGGCCACAAAUUU
rnacentral:lncRNA from 1 species